UUUUAUAGAAUAAGUAUCCAGAUGUUGUAGCACUUCCUGAAGGAUUACAUGGAGAUUACAUGCUCUUAAGGAGCACUCAACUUCCCAAAUUUGAAUUAAUGAUUGUUUGGAAGAUACAGGUAGAUGAAAACGGAAAUAUUAUACCAGUUUUGGAUCUUUUGAACAAAAUACCACUACAAGGCACUCUAGCUGACAAAUUUGCAUCAGACGCUCCGCAAGGUUUCAGAAGUCUCUUGCAUAUGAUUGGGAUACAGGCAUCCAUUGA